rnacentral:sRNA from 2 species
UCGCGUGAAGCGCCGUUGGCAGGAGCGGGGGAACCAAGGUUUGCGCCGGGUCCCAGGGGCCGGGCAGCACAUGCUGCCCACUUCGGGAAACGGCUAGGGGUGAAGUCGCACAGCGCGAGCGUGCGGCCGGGCAAUUCGCCUUCUGCUCUUACGGAGCGGGGGGCACCCCAUCGGCCCGAACCCGACAGCUCACCUCGCAGGCGUCGGUGAGGGGAUCU